GGGUAGGGGAGCGUCGUGUGCCGGGUGAAGCAGCCGCGGAAGCGAGUUGUGGACGGUUCACGAGUGAGAAUGCAGGCAUGAGUAGCGAUUCACACGUGAGAAACGUGUGCGCCGAUUGACUAAGGGUUCCUGGGUCAAGCUGAUCUGCCCAGGGUAAGUCGGGACCUAAGGCGAGGCCGACAGGCGUAGUCGAUGGACAACCGGUUGAUAUUCCGGUACCCGCGGUGCAGCGCCAGACACCGAGCAUCCAGUGAUGCUAAGSCCGUGAAGCCGCCSGCSGAGYCUUCGGRYGARGSCGGAGUGGUGGAGCCGSYGRCCCRAGCUGGUCAGUAGGUGAGUGAUGGGGUGACGCAGGAAGGCAGUCCAGCCCGGGCGGUGGUUGUCCCGGGGUAAGGGUGUAGSMCGWSWGGUAGGCAAAUCCGCCWGGCWCAUSGKSGUGAGACCYGAUGCCGAGCCGAUUGCGGCGAAGUGGAUGAUCCUAUGCUGUCGAGAAAAGCCUCUAGCGAGUUGCACGGCGGCCCGUACCCGAAACCGACUCAGGUGGUCAGGUAGAGAAUACCGAGGCGUUCGGGUGAACUAUGGUUAAGGAACUCGGCAAAAUGCCCCCGUAACUUCGGGAGAAGGGGGGCCACGCCCGGUGAUCCGGCUCUGCCCGGUGAGCUGGGGGUGGCCGCAGAGACCAGCGAGAAGC
rnacentral:rRNA from 1 species